UGCGGGGUAGAGCAGUGGUAGCUCGUCGGGCUCAUAACCCGGAGGUCGUCGGUUCGAAUCCUUCCCCCGCUACCA
rnacentral:tRNA from 1 species